rnacentral:tRNA from 2 species
GCGGGUAUAGUUUAGUGGUAAAACACCUCUCUUCCAAAGAGGAAAUACGGGUCCGAUUCCCGUUACCCGCUCCA